UAAGCAUAUCAAUAAGCGGAGGAAAAGAAACUAACAAGGAUUCCCCUAGUAACUGCGAGUGAAGCGGGAAAAGCUCAAAUUUAAAAUCUGGCAGUCUUUGGCUGUCCGAGUUGUAAUCUAGAGAAGUGUUAUCCGCGCUGGACCGUGUACAAGUCUCCUGGAAUGGAGCGUCAUAGAGGGUGAGAAUCCCGUCUUUGACACGGACUGCCAGGGCUUUGUGAUGCGCUCUCAAAGAGUCGAGUUGUUUGGGAAUGCAGCUCAAAAUGGGUGGUAAAUUCCAUCUAAAGCUAAAUAUUGGCGAGAGACCGAUAGCGAACAAGUACCGUGAGGGAAAGAUGAAAAGAACUUUGGAAAGAGAGUUAAACAGUACGUGAAAUUGCUGAAAGGGAAACGCUUGAAGUCAGUCGCGUUGGCCAGGGAUCAACCUUGCUUUUGCUUGGUGUACUUUCUGGUUGACGGGUCAACAUCAAUUUUGACUAUUGGAAAAAGAUUAAGGGAAUGUGGCAUCUUCGGAUGUGUUAUAGCCCUUGGUUGCAUACAAUGGUUGGGAUUGAGGAACUCAGCACGCCGCAAGGCCGGGUUUUUAACCACGUACGUGCUUAGGAUGUUGGCAUAAUGGCUUUAAUCGACCCGUCUUGAAACACGGACCAAGGAGUCUAACAUACCUGCGAGUGUUUGGGUGGAAAACCCGAGCGCGUAAUGAAAGUGAAAGUUGAGAUCCCUGUCGUGGGGAGCAUCGACGCCCGGACCAGACCUUUUGUGACGGUUCCGCGGUAGAGCAUGUAUGUUGGGACCCGAAAGAUGGUGAACUAUGCCUGAAUAGGGUGAAGCCAGAGGAAACUCUGGUGGAGGCUCGUAGCGAUUCUGACGUGCAAAUCGAUCGUCAAAUUUGGGUAUAGGGGCGAAAGACUAAUCGAACCAUCUAGUAAGCUGGUUCCUGCCGA
rnacentral:rRNA from 2 species